AACAUCGCCUCUUGACUUUCAUAGAAGGUCCAGCCUGCCCAGUGACAUGAUUUAACGGCCGCGGUACCCUGACCGUGCAAAGGUAGCAUAAUCACUUGUCCUCCAAAUAAGGACUAGUAUCAACGGCAUCACGAGGGUUAUACUGUCUCCCCUUUUUAAUCAGUGAAACUGACUUUCCCGUGAAGAGGCGGGAAUAAAAGUACAAGACGAGAAGACCCCAUGGAGCUUUAAACCCAAUAAUAACUUCUACUUACUACAACCACUUAAUCAAGAAGACCUAUCUAUUGGUUUUAGGUUGGGGUGACCCUGGAGUAAAACUAAACCUCCAUGACGAAUGGAUUUACCUUAAUCUAAGAGCAGCCGCUCUAGGAAUCAAAAUUUUGACGUAACUGAUCCGCUCAGCGAUCAACGAACCAAGUUACCCUGGGGAUAACAGCGCAAUCCAUUUCAAGAGCCCCUAUCGACAAAUGGGUUUACANCCUCGAUGUUGGAUCAGGGUAUCCUAGUGGUGCAGCCGCUACUAAAGGUUUGUUUGUUCAACAAUUAAACCCU
rnacentral:rRNA from 1 species